rfam:Trichobilharzia regenti genome assembly, scaffold: TRE_scaffold0004364
AUCCAGAUGACGAGUCCCAAACAGCACGAAAUGAGCAUCCUGGAU